GUUGUCACGACCUCCUGUCACCGGCACACGUCCUCAACCUUGGCAACAUAAACUUUCUAAAUUAAUUGAGACCUGUCUCAGAUAUCUGGGGUUCACACUUUCUAGUCUCAGACCACUCCAGAAACUCCAAAUUCUCCUUGGUGUAGUACUGAGCAAUUCAUCUUCCUCUUGACACUGCCCUCACCUGUAUCUGAAUGCCAAGGGGCCCUGCGAUGGCUGGGACAAAUCUUUCUCAACCAAAAUGCUCAUCAGAGCAACCAAAGCAUUUUUCUAAAUCAAAGAAUAACUGAAGCUGGUGGACUGAAUACAGGUAUUUACUCCUGCCCCCUCUCCAACUCCUCUAAUUCAUCGGUUAUAGAUUUAUAAAGGAUACAAGCCCAUGGGGACAAACAAUGAACUGGAGAGGAGACAACAGCAAUGUUCUGGAAACUGGAAAGCACAUGGAGAAGUGGUCCAUGAUUUAGGCAGUUCCAAGAAAGUUGAGUGAUAAGCCAGCAGGUGGAAAAAAAACACACAGCACUCCCUUUUACAGCACACUCACAAAGGCCAGGAUUGGGUAGUAGCAGUGAGUGGGGAGCCAGAAACAGGAAGACUGGUGGAAAGGCUGUUUAAGAAGGAGUUGGGGCCAGGCGCGGUGGCUCACACCUGUAAUCCCAGCACUUUGGGACUACAGGUGCGCAGGAGGAGCUGGGACUACAGGUGUGCAUUUUUACUGUAUUGUUUACUUUGGUAGAUGUAAUAAUGAUGUCUGUGUUGGACAAUGUCCUUAUUUAUUGGAUUGUAUGCAUAAGCACUGGUGCUCCUUGACUUAAAACAGGAUUACGUUUCAGUAAACCCAUCAUAAAUUGAAAAUGUUGUAAAUUGAAAAUACAUUUAAGCCAGCCAUGUUGACUCACGCCUGUAACCCCAAUACUUGGGAGACUGAGGCAUAUGUCACCACACCUGGCUAAUUUUUGUGCCUUUUAUAGGGACAGGAUCUUGCCCCGUUGGCCCAGGCUGGUCUUG
rnacentral:lncRNA from 1 species